rnacentral:rRNA from 1 species
UCCAGGCCCUACGGGGUGCAGCAGGCGCGAAACCUCCGCAAUGUGAGAAAUCGCGACGGGGGGAUCCCAAGUGCCAUUCUUAACGGGAUGGCUUUUCAUUAGUGUAAAGAGCUUUUGGAAUAAGAGCUGGGCAAGACCGGUGCCAGCCGCCGCGGUAACACCGGCAGCUCUAGUGGUAGCAGUUUUUAUUGGGCCUAAAGCGUCCGUAGCCGGUUUAAUAAGUCUCUGGUGAAAUCCUGCAGCUUAACUGUGGGAAUUGCUGGAGAUACUAUUAGACUUGAGAUCGGGAGAGGUUAGAGGUACUCCCAGGGUAGAGGUGAAAUUCUGUAAUCCUGGGAGGACCGCCUGUUGCGAAGGCGUCUGACUGGAACGAUUCUGACGGUGAGGGACGAAAGCUAGGGGCGCGAACCGGAUUAGAUACCCGGGUAGUCCUAGCUGUAAACGAUGCGGACUUGGUGUUGGGGUGGCUUUGAGCUGUCCCAGUGCCGAAGGGAAGCUGUUAAGUCCGCCGCCUGGGAAGUACGGUUGCAAGACUGAAACUUAAAGGAAUUGGCGGGGGAGCACCACAACGCGUGGAGCCUGCGGUUUAAUUGGAGUCAACGCCGG